UACGAAGGGGGCUAGCGUUGCUCGGAAUUACUGGGCGUAAAGGGAGCGUAGGCGGACAGUUAAGUCAGAGGUGAAAGCCCAGGGCUCAACCCUGGAAUUGCCUUUGGAUACUGAUUGUCUUGAGUAUGGGAGAGGUAUGCGGAACUCCGAGUGUAGAGGUGAAAUCGUAGAUAUCGGAAGAACACCAGUGGGCGAAGGCGGCUGACUGGA
rnacentral:rRNA from 1 species